CUCUUUUUUUCUUUAAUGACAUUGCACUUUGAUAACGUGAAGUUCACAACUCUAAUCUGGGGAGAGAUGACAAUGAAAGGGGGUAUUCACAAGUUCAAGGGGCUUAUGCACAAUCAGGACCACCAGCGGCAAAUGGAACUGAUGGCGCUGCUGGUCAGGAGAUAGAAGUAGCACCAGCUAUCCCUACUUACGCUGUUGUGGACAAGUCCAAGAAGAAGAAGAAGAAGCUACGGGAAGAGGUGCCCGCCGUUUAUGCAGAAGUGGAUAAAUCAAAGAAGAAGAAAAAGAAGGUUGAUGAUAAGAAUCUUUAUGAAACCCUUGACGAACCAAAGAAGGUAAGGAAACCUGGAGAACUCCUUUAUGCAGACUUGGGUGAUUUUCAGAAUCCAGGCAUGUCAGCAGUGUCCAUUUCACCACAGCCUCUGCCUGCGAUAAAAAUACCCGAACCUUACGAAAGGACUGACUAUGCUGACAUCACCCAGUUCCACAAAGGAAAUGCUAAAUUGCCUCAAAAUGAUGGCAACGAAGACACGGAAAUGAAGCCGAAACGUCCAAGCAAAAAAAAAGGUUCAAGGAAAUGACAGUGAAACACGAAUUUAGGCUGACUUCUUCACAGUUCAAUUUCGAAGCCCGCAAGGGGUAAUUCUUUUCGUAGUACUUAGCUUUGAUUAAAGUCUUGUUAAUUGACGUAACGUUUUGAAAGAAAUCUUUUAUAAGCUGAGGUUAAUGUGCCUCUUAAUUUUCAUAGCUUAUUUUUUUAGAAAGAGGACGGAAAAUUUUUGAUAGCUUGGUGUUGUUCAGCGACCAGAUUUACAUUUUUUAGUUAACAGGCAUUUCUAUUCAGCACAGCAUGGUUAUCAACGUUUUUCCACGCGUUUUCACAGCUUGCAAGCUUUAGAUCUUAUCGUGUGUAAGUAAAGGUUUUAUGUUAGGGUAUGUGUUUUUUGUUUGUUUGUUUGUUUUUUAUCUUAAAGUACAGUGGCACUGUAUUACCUGGCCUAGAGGCCUGGCCUUGAAGUUGAAAGGAAGGUGUUACCAUGGUGUUGCAAACCUGUUUUUGUUCGGGGAACUUGGGUGUCUAGUCCUUCAAUCUAGUUCGUACAAGAUUAGCCCGUACUAAUUUGAACUUUAGAGUAAAUGCUAACAAUGGCGCCUCCAAGUGUGCACUCAAAUAUAUAUAUAGUCCACUAAUAUUCAACAUGUAAUCUAUGCUCUCUUUGCAAACGGCAAAGGUAAGAAAGAAGAUCACCUCCACUCAAACAAGCAAAAGGAAACACAAACUUACGGAUGCGUUAAUUUUUGAAAAAAAAAAUCUAGUUUAAUCAAGCGGAUAAUCUCUUUUAUAUUGUAGGCAAACAUAAUUAUAAAUGCAUGGUUCAUAUUGACGGUUAAUAAUGAUUAAUCUCCACACAUUAGUAACACAAGAUCAACAGUGUAACUACGAGCGCAACCUCUCUCUCACUUUUAGGCCAGGUCACGAAGCGAAUUCUCCUUUCGGCUGAAAGCAACUAGAAAUUGUGUUUAAAAAAUCUGACUGGAGAUUUUGUAAAUUGUUUUAGAGAUAUAGACUGAGUUGAUAAGUAGCUUUUAACAUUGUCAUCACCGUUUUGCUUGUCUGGUACUUCAAGUGUAUGAAUUCAAUAAGUAGUUUAUUUUGUGAACUUAUUUCGAAUUUUUUCUUAGCGAGUGAAGGCAGUGAACGAGUAAAAAAUAUCUUUCCACACGAGAAGGGAAAUUUCAUGUCACAAAGUAGUCAUUUGAAUGUUCUGUUUACUAUGUAAACACCAAUGAAAUACAAAACCAUUUCACUUUAAUAAUUUUUGUAACGUUUUUUAGGAAUUAGUCGGACAAAAGCGAUUUAUUAUGUAACCAUAGCAAAAGUGAUGUUUUCACAUUUGAAGAUAUAUUUUCCCACGCAAGGUCAUCUAGUAUUUCAUUGGUGUUCAUGUAAUAAACAGAGAUAGCAAUGAAGUUACAGUGUAUUGCAAUGUAGAAUGAUUAUCAUGGCACAACAUAGUUGGAGAUAAUUGACCAAUAAUAUAUUUU